rnacentral:rRNA from 1 species
AUUGAACGCUGGCGGCAGGCCUAACACAUGCAAGUCGAGCGAGCGGCGGACGGGUGAGUAAUGUAUGGGAAACUGCCUGAUGGAGGGGGAUAACUACUGGAAACGGUAGCUAAUACCGCAUACCAUCGGAUGUGCCCAGAGGGGAUUGGCUAGUAGGUGGGGUAACGGCUCACCUAGGAGACGAUCCCUAGCUGGUCUGAGAGGAGGACCAGCCACACUGGAACUGAGACACGGUCCAGACUCCUACGGGAGGCAGCAGUGGGGAAUAUUGCACAAGGGGCGCAAGCCUGAUGUAGCCAUGCCGCGUGUAGGAAGAAGGCCUUCGGGUUGUAAAGUACUUUCGGCGGGGAGGCGUUACCCGCAGAAGAAGCACCGGCUAACUCCGUGCCAGCCGCCGCGGUAAUAC